CCCUUAGAUGUUCUGGGCCGCACGCGCGCUACACUGAUGCAUUCAACGAGUUUCUUCCUGGUCCGAGAGGAAUGGGUAACCUUUUGAAAGUGCAUCGUGAUAGGGAUAGACUAUUGCAAUUAUUGGUCUUCAACGAGGAAUUCCUAGUAGACGUAGUUCAUCAGACUGCAUCGAUUACGUCCCUGCCCUUUGUACACACCGCCCGUCGCUCCUACCGAUUGAACGUUCCGGUGAGACCUUGGGAUUUGGUCUUUGGUACUUUAUUGUGCCGUUGACCGAAAAACUUGAGCAAACCUUAACGUUUAGAGGAAGGUGAAGUCGUAACA
rnacentral:rRNA from 1 species